CUCAACUGAAGCUCCUUUCUCUGUGAUAACUCCAGCUGUGUCAAGUUGACACACAAAACCAGCCAGUACACUACCUUUAUAACUUAUGAUGUAUUUCUUUAUUCAUGCAUAUCUAAAUGUACAUGGAUGCAAUGCUAUAACACUAUCCCAUAAGUGAGAGUAGGAAUUUAUUUCUAAUGUGUUUGCAAAACAGCUGGUGUGUCCAACUGGAACAUUUAUUUUUACUGUGAUUGAAUUUUUUCUUUUUAAAAAUGAAAAUAGAUUGGGAGGGCAUAAAAUGUAUUUGAAUUAUGGUUGCCAUUCCCCCCAUUUCCUUCCAGAUUCUCCCAUCCUCCCAAAUUCAUAUCCUUUCCUGACUUCUCAUUAGAAAACAAAUAGGUAUCUUUUUAAAAGAUCAUAAGAAAUUAUGUUAAAAUAAAAACAAGCAAACCUGAAUAGGACAGCAAAUGAGCAGAGAAACAAAGUGCCAAAGAAACAGCUUUGAGAAACACAUAGAUGUAGAGACACACACAUUAGCACAUGCAGAAGUCCCCUAAAACACCAAAUCGAAAGCCACAGUAUGUAUGCUAUAGACCUGUCAGGUAAGUGGGAAAGGUGGGCGUGGGGGAUACUAUGUAAGGUGCAUAAUUGUUCCCAGCUGUCCUCUAAGGUAAAGUCCUUAGCAUCAACAAAUCUUAUUUCAUCCUGUUGACUUGAAUGCUGGUUCUGCAGUUAUGUCCCCUUUCUUCCUUAUCCCUUUGUAUAGGACAAAGAGAAAGGCAAAAGUGUGUUUACCAAAUGUUAUCUUCUAAAGACUAUAUUUUUUUCCUACUGUAGACACCUCAGGGUAUGCCUUGAACAAAAGUGGAAAAAUGUGGUAGGUUGGUGUAAAAGGUUUAAAAAUGAGGCUGAGUCUGUUCUGUCAGUGGAGAUGGCAAUCAUCACAGCGGGAAUAGAACGUAUAGAAUGUUGAAAGUUCACAUCUUCUGAUGCAAACUUGAAGCAGAGAGAGAAAACUGAAGCUGUUGACAGUCUAAGCUCUCAAAGCCUGCAUCCAGUGACAUUCUUCCUCCAACAAUGCCACAUUUUCUAAACCUCUCCCAAAUAUCUCCACCAGCUGGGGACAAAGUGCUCCAAUACAUGAGCCUUUGGAGGACAUCCUCGUUCAAACAACCACACGUGCAUUGCAUGAACUUUCCCGUGUGAGGACAGAUAGAAAGUGCAUCAGCCGUCUUGUAGUAGGAAGGAUUAGCUACCUACUCCUCACUCUUACCAUUCUGUGAUUUGGAUACUGUAGGAGACAGUCCUGAAAUGUCCUCUGUCUCCUACUAGACAUAGCUCUUGGCACUGGGGACUACUAUAUUGUAUUUGGUAAAGGCUGUUAAUGCCACAUAAAUCUCAAAUGCAAAGAUGUUUGAUACUGAAGGAGUUAUCUGCACUUUGCUGAAAAAUAGUGAAAGCAGAAUAGUUCAUCAUGCUAAAUAUAGAGUUAAUUGUAGAACAAGAACAUUUUUAGUCAAAGCAUAAUGUAUAAGGAUGAUAUCAGACUGCUAUGGUGAUAUGAAUCUAUUCAAAACUCAGUAUUCGCCGGGUAGUGGUGGUGCACACCUUUAAUCCCAGCACUCAGGAGGCAGAGGCAGGCGGAUUUCUGAGUUCGAGGCCAGCCUGGUCUACAAAGUGAGCUCCAGGACAGCCAGGGCUACACAGAGAAACCCUGUCUCAAAAAACAAAAAACAAAACAAACAAACAAAAAAAAAACAAAAAACUCAGUAUUCACCUAUAUACAGUAGAAAAAAAAUCAGCAUAAAAUGGAAUGCCAAGCACAGCAUCUUUGUAAAUGUCUAUCCAUUGGCUUUGGAAGGAGGACAAGAUAUAGGAAGUAGAAAUUAAGAACAUGAAGGUGAAUUGGAGUUAGAAAUGGCCACAGAAUCAUCACUUACCAUGAGCUAGACAGAAUGUGGUGGGGGUGAUGUACACCUGUAAUCCAGGCACUAAUGAAGCCAAGUCAAGUAAGUUGUAAGCUUGAAGACAAUCAGAAAAAUGUAACAUGAUUCUGUCUCAAAAAUACACCAACAAUAAAAGGAGGAAGGGAAAACACAUGAACACUACAAAUACUGACCCCUGCAGACACUGGGAUGCUAUGAAGAGAAUGGGUAAUAGGCACAGGAUAAAAGAUGAUAGGAAGCCGGGCAAGGUGGCGCAUGCCUUUAAUCCUAGCACUCAGGAGGCAGAGGCAGGCAGAUUUCUGAGUUCGAGGGUAGCCUGGUCUACAGAGUGAGUUCCAGGACAGCCAGGGCUAUACAGAAAAACCCUGUCUCGGGGAAAAAAAAAAUGACAGGAGAAAGUAUGUCCCAUGAUCCAUGGCACAGACAGUGAUUAUAAGUGUGUAUUUAAAAUCAGCCCAUUGUGGCCACUUUGAAUUUCCUAACACAAUAGAUAAUAAAUGCUUAUGUAGCAAAUAUUAUAGUAUGUACAACAGAAUUAGCAAAGGUUGCUACAAGGAUGUUUCCUGGGAAUUUGAAAGGCUUAGGAAAUAAGCCAAGAUAAGGAACAAAUGCAGUUGUAGUUAUGAACAGCUCUUUUUUUUUUUUUUUUUUUUUUUUUUUUUUGGUUUUUCAAGACAGGAUUUCUCUGUGUGGCCCUGGCGGUCCUGGAACUCACUUUGUAGACCAGGCUGGCCUCGAACUCAGAAAUCUGCCUGCCUCUGCCUCCCGAGUGCUGGGAUUAAAGGCAUGCGCCACCAAACCCAGCUUAUGAGCAGCUCUUAAAUAGCUUGGAGAUUUUAUCUGGAAAUGUAGCAAUGUGGAAGAACAGGCAGCAGGCAGAUACUGAGUGUAUAUAAAAAUGAUUCUUGCUAAAUAAUGUUGAUACUGAAAAUUAUUGUAGAAUAAUGAGAAAUAAUUAAUUUUGAAAGUCUGUUCAUGUUUUAUGAAAAAUAAGCUUGGGAGGCUCUUAGCAUUUUCUCAAGAACAGUAAAGAAGUGGGAUGAACACGUGGCAAUAUAUUCCGAGACAGUAAAGCUCAGUAAACGAUACUGGAUCUAAGUCUUCAUGGUCUUUUCAAUCUGAAACAUCUUUUUGUCUAUUUGAAAAUAAUUUUUUUUUGCAUACAGUAAGUAUAUUUGGAUUAUGGUUCCCCCCUCCCUAGAUACUCCCUGCCCUCCCAAAUCUACAUCUUUUCUUGUUAUGUUGAUAGAAAACAAAUAGAAUUUUUUUAAAGAAAAAAAUUAAAGGGGCUGGUGAGAUGGCUCAGUGGGUAAGAGCACCGGACUGCUCUUCCGAAGAUCAGGAGUUCAAAUCCCAGCAACCACAUGGUGGCUCACAACCAUCCAUAACAAGAUCUGACUCCCUCUUCUGGGGUGUCUGAGGACAGCUACAGUGUACUUAUAUAAAAUAAAUAAAAAAAAAAAAAAAUUAAAGACACAAAAUUGGAAACCAUAAAAUAUACACAACAGACUUGUAGGAUAAAACAAAAACAAAACCCCUCCAAAACUACCAUUGAGUUUGUUUUAUGAUGGCCAUCUACUGCUGAGCAUGGGGCCUGGACUGCAGAAUCCUUUGGGUAUGUGAUGUGCAGAGGUUAAGAUCUGAAACAAAAGAUGCUACAUCAGGGAAGAGGUAUCAGCACCAUCUAUACGGUGAUAUUAUGGGUGUGAGGACUUUCGAGGCGCUUUGGAACACUUUACCAUGUCUAUACCUAGGGGUUGAGAGAGUGGGAUGUAUACUUUCUGAAAUUUGGUUGUGCCUGAUGAGCAGCUAUGGUAAGUAUCAUAGUCAAGUUAACCAAUGACUCCUGUGUCCCAUCUGGGGCGACAUGGGUCCCUAAUUAGAAUAUAAAAGAUUUGCAGGGGGCAUUUGUUUGUGUAAUGACAGAAGUUGCCAUCAUUGAAAAUCAAGCAUGCCCAUUUCAGCCAUUUGAACUGUACUGAGGCCAAGCUGUUUAUGGUAAUAGAGUGAGACUUUAAUAAAGUAUGAGUCUGUGGAAGAAGAGAGAAGGGUCGCAAAAUGAAUUCUGUUGGACAAAGUUUCUAUAAGGUUCAAGUGGGAGCUGAGAGACAAAGGAACCCAGGAGGGCAUGGAGAAGCUGUGAAACUCCCAGGAUGGAGGUAAGGUCAGAGAGGCCCAGAAGGGCUUAAGGAAUCGGUGGGCUUAUCAGGCAGCUCCUAGUGGGAGAGAGAAAGGAAACAGGGAGGGUUCCAACAGAGGGAAGGACCAAGUGCUUUAGUAACUAGAGAGUUGCUCACAUUGUGAGGCUCUAGGAGCCAGAGAAAAGCCCCUUACCUAGCAGACAAGAAGAGAUGCUGGUUAAAGCCCCUUACCUAGCAGGCACGGAGAGACGCUGGUUAAAGCCCCUUACCUAGCAGGCAAGGAGAGAUGCUGGUUAAAGCCCCUUACCUAGUAGACACGGAGAGACACUGGUUAAAGCAGGCAAGGGACAAAGCUUCUGGAGAGGUGGCCUCAUGAUUUGUAAUAAAUCUGACAGGUGUCAGACGCCAGCAGAGACAAAUGAGCUUAUGUAGUCCAUGAGAACAAGUCAGUUUGUAAUGCUGAGACAUGGACAUGGCUGAAAGGGAAGUGUAGCAUCCUUUACUCAUGCUCCCAGAAGGGGCAGAGCUCUGGAAGCAGUCGUUUUAGAGCUUGUAUGCCAGGAGGUAGGAUAUGUUGUGACAAGUUAAGGCAGUGAUGGGUGACCCAAAGGUUAACUUCUCUAGUUCAUGUAUAGGAAGUCCAGCUGCAGUCAGGGCUAGCAGAGAAGGAACCCAUCUUUGUAUAGUGUGCUCUCAUGACCCAAGACUCCCAGAGCAUUUCCCUCCUUUUUAGUAACAGGGAGAGAGCAGCUGGAGCUCGGAGGAGGGCCUGUUGAAGUCUAUGCCAGGGCUUGGUUAAUGGGCACAAGGAAUGGUUCAUGAGAGAAGCCAUGGGUCGCCUCAUGUAAGGGCAAAGCAAGAGGAGAGUGAAAGAAAAUUCAAGAGCAUGAGAAGCCAACCAUCCCUAGAAACGAUAGAAUUUCAUCUUUGGUGAUGGGGACUGUGAGUGACUGGAUUGAUUUUUUUUUUUUAAUUUAGGGUGAUGUCCUUGUGAGUAGGAGUUAUAUCUAGUCUCAGAUAAGUAACCUGAGGAGUGGACAACUGGACUGUGGAGUGAAAGGACAACAUAAACCCCAUUUGUCUCCAUUUAAGGACCAGGCCUGGUUUCAAAAAGGCCAUAAGGUACCAUCUCCAAGAAUAGACCAUAAGUUCCAGAAACUAGGUCAUAAGACAUCAGCUCUAGGAACAGACCAUAAAACCCAGAACAAGAUCAUACAACCCCCUACCAAAGAACAGCCAGAGGAUAACCACAAAAAUGGGGAAAUAUCUCUGAAUGGGCCAUCUGUGCUGGGCAGCCCUAUCUCAUUCAUCACAUGGUUGAAUGCUCACAGCAUAGGAAUGUAGAUCACUGAUGAGUCCCUAGCACCCACCAAUGAAAUUUUAGAUUACCUAGUCCUUCUAGAGAGUUCCCUCCGGUUCCCUAUAAGAAGGCCUGCAUGCCUUUGUCUGGGGUCACCAUUUUAGAGAAUGUUUCUGCAGAAUAAACACUCUUUGUUUUUGCAUACUA